rnacentral:misc_RNA from 1 species
GAUGAAGAACGUAGCGAAAUGCGAUAAGUAAUGUGAAUUGCAGAAUUCAGUGAAUCAUCGAAUCUUUGAACGCACCUUGCGCUCCUUGGUAUUCCGAGGAGCAUGCCUGUUUGAGUGUCAUGAAAUUCUCAAACCCAUAAGUCUUUGCGGGCUUACGGGCUUUGGACUUGGAGGCUUGUCGGCGACCGUAAAGUCACAUCGACUCCUCUCAAAUGCAUUAGCUUGAUUCCUUGCGGAUCGGCUCUCGGUGUGAUAAUUGUCUACGCCGUGACCGUGAAGCGUUUUGGCGAGCUUCUAACCGUCUCUAACGAGACAGCUUACUUUGACCUCUGACCUCAAAUCAGGUAGGACUACCCGCUGAACUUAAGCAUAUCAAUAAGCGGAGGA